CUGGCGGCGUGCCCAAUACAUGCAAGUCGAACUGUCUUCUUUCCUCCCGAGUGCUUGCACUCAAUUGGAAAGAGGAGUGGCGGACGGGUGAGUAACACGUGGGUAACCUACCCAUCAGAGGGGGAUAACACUUGGAAACAGGUGCUAAUACCGCAUAACAGUUUAUGCCGCAUGGCAUAAGAGUGAAAGGCGCUUUCGGGUGUCGCUGAUGGAUGGACCCGCGGUGCAUUAGCUAGUUGGUGAGGUAACGGCUCACCAAGGCCACGAUGCAUAGCCGACCUGAGAGGGUGAUCGGCCACACUGGGACUGAGACACGGCCCAGACUCCUACGGGAGGCAGCAGUAGGGAAUCUUCGGCAAUGGACGAAAGUCUGACCGAGCAACGCCGCGUGAGUGAAGAAGGUUUUCGGAUCGUAAAACUCUGUUGUUAGAGAAGAACAAGGACGUUAGUAACUGAACGUCCCCUGACGGUAUCUAACCAGAAAGCCACGGCUAACUACGUGCCAGCAGCCGCGGUAAUACGUAGGUGGCAAGCGUUGUCCGGAUUUAUUGGGCGUAAAGCGAGCGCAGGCGGUUUCUUAAGUCUGAUGUGAAAGCCCCCGGCUCAACCGGGGAGGGUCAUUGGAAACUGGGAGACUUGAGUGCAGAAGAGGAGAGUGGAAUUCCAUGUGUAGCGGUGAAAUGCGUAGAUAUAUGG
rnacentral:rRNA from 1 species